rnacentral:misc_RNA from 1 species
AGUUUUAGCAUAAUAAUGUAUAAUAAUUUUCUUAGGUUCUUCUUUAUUGUAUUAAUAUCAACUUCACUUUUAUGCUCACCAGAGAGAGUGCGUAGAGUUAUUGGUGGUUACCCAGUACAGAAUUCGAGAUGGCCUUUUCUGAUAGCAGUUUAUUAUAAUGGCGUAUACGAAUGCAUGUUUUCCUUAAUUUCAUUAAAAUCGGCCAUUGGACCUGCUAGCUGUUUGAUUGAUAAAAACGUUUUGUCAUUUCAUGGGAGAAUAGGAAACGUCGAUAGGUAUAAAGGAACUAAGAUUUUUUUCAAAAACUAUGUCAUUCACAAAUCGUAUAAAUGUUCGUCAGAAGAAGACAAUAUAGCUUUACUAUUUCUUAAAAAACCAAUAACUAUAUCGAGUACUAUUAUGCCUGCUGCUCUUCCGCAUAAAACUUUAAAUUUAACAGAAACAUGGAGAGGAGUAUAUUCUGCAGGAUGGGGAUGCUCUCAAUUCAACCGACCGUGCACUUCUUCUAUACUACAAGAAAUUUAUCUUCAUUUAAUACGUUUAAACAGUUAUUGUCUAGUAAAGAAUUACGUUAUUUCUGAUAAAGAACUAUGCCUUUUUCGCUGGCGUAAAUCCACUGCAUUAGGAUCGGGAGACUUAGGCGCACCAUUAAUGGGAGAACUAACCGAUUAUCACAGGAAGACAUUAUUAGGUAUCAGUAGUCACACUUUUGAUAAUUCGACUCGAUUCGAAAUUUUUACAUCGAUUAAAGUUUAUUAUGAUUGGAUAAUAGAAAAUAGUGAAGGAAAUUUAAGUUUUUUACUUUGAUUUCUAUAUUCGAAAAAUUAUGACAACUGACAGCAAGAAAUUCGGCUUGAAAGCGUUGAUUUUUGUAGAACUCUAAGGCAAGAACUGUGAAGUACGUGUGAAGAACAUUUCGGUACUAUUGUUAUUCUUUGAAUGAGAAGGAUUAGUUUCAAAAGUUUGGAUAAAGUUUAAAAAUUUUUAUUUUUCAAUGUUUUGAGGAAAAAAUUAUAAAAAUAUUGAAUGUUGCUUUGGAAUUCUACAACUUAUGGAAAAAUGUAUUCGAACAUAGUUUAAGAAAAUAAAAUAUUUUAAUUUAAACAAGAAUAUAAAAAUGUAAUGUUUAAAACAAAAAUAAACAUUUUUGUUCAUUGGGUU